CCUACGGGAGGCAGCAGUGGGGAAUUUUGGACAAUGGGCGAAAGCCUGAUCCAGCAAUGCCGCGUGUGUGAAGAAGGCCUUCGGGUUGUAAAGCACUUUUGUCCGGAAAGAAAUGGCUCUGGUUAAUACCUGGGGUCGAUGACGGUACCGGAAGAAUAAGGACCGGCUAACUACGUGCCAGCAGCCGCGGUAAUACGUAAGGUCCAAGCGUUAAUCGGAAUUACUGGGCGUAAAGCGUGCGCAGGCGGUUGUGCAAGACCGAUGUGAAAUCCCCGAGCUUAACUUGGGAAUUGCAUUGGUGACUGCACGGCUAGAGUGUGUCAGAGGGGGGUAGAAUUCCACGUGUAGCAGUGAAAUGCGUAGAGAUGUGGAGGAAUACCGAUGGCGAAGGCAGCCCCCUGGGAUAACACUGACGCUCAUGCACGAAAGCGU
rnacentral:rRNA from 1 species